UGUUAGAAACUAGACACAAUACCAAACCUUUGAAAACCUAAUAGGAACCGACCAACACACUGGUUUUACAAUGAUUAAUUAAUUGGAAUGAUGCUCAUAGUUGUAGACAAUUAGCUUUGUUUCGAGACAUUUAUAGUGUGAAGAUAUGAAUAUUCCAUAAUUGAACAAGUUGUCAAGAAGGCAUAAUAGCCCUUGAAAAAAGCAUUGACUUUAAAGAUCAAAAACAGACAAAGUAAAAUAGUGUAAAGGAAGAGUCAAGCCCUGAUACUGAAAUUGUGGUGCUAUGAUAAACCAGGUUAGGCUGAGUUUGAAAUUGCAGUGCUAUAAUAAACUAAGGUUAGGCUGAUUUUGAAACUACUGUAUAUAUUAAGAGUUCGUUAAUUGACAUGAUUACACUAUAUAGGAAAAGUUUGGUAUAUAUACACUUCACCAUCAAUGCACAAACUCAAAAGCACUGAUCUUAGACACAUUCUUAUAAGUGAUAUCAUGUGUUGUCUGGUUUGAUUAUUUCUGGUAUGAGCCACUCCCACACCUGUUCUUGAUCUUUCCUUUCUUCAUUUCUUAGUUCAGAGAAGCCAGAAGACAUUUCUAAAUGAUAUUUGACAAUUGUGGUGAAGUGAUGACAGUUUCAAGUUCUCAAAUGGGGUGUGUCUUCCUGAUAUUAUUAAGCAUUUUGGUUUUGUACCAUGAAGUAUUGGGUGCUAGGUUAGGAAAAGUGGAACAUGUACACAAACUCAAGCCUCCAGUAUGGAGGAAAAGCUUUACCAGUGAAACUGAUAGAAGCUAUUACACAACAAGUAAAAGAGCAGUACCCUCCUCUCCUGACCGCUUGCACAACAGAUAGAAUCCAGCAGUUUGAAGUUUCAUUAGAUGUUUGGUCAGCAGCUUUUUCAAGAAUCAAUUCUGAGCCGCAAAAGCUAUGCUACUCACAGAAGAGUUAAAAGUCCAAAGCUACUCAGAUAAGUUUCUUCUUGAUUCAAUCCUGAGACGCAGAAACUAAUCUACUCAUAUGAAAGUCGAAAUCCAGCAGCCUAUCACAGGAACUUUUUUCUAAAAGCUACUCAUUAAAGCUUCUUCAUAAGCUUCUUCAUAGAAGAAGUUGAUUCUAUCUUUGGAAUCAUAAGAAUUUUCAAACAUGCACUCACAUCGAUUAGGGUUUAGUGAGUAAAGAUAUAUUGUUCAAGUUAUAUGGUUUAAAGGUGUAAUAUUUGAGUGGUAACUUUUCACCUCACUUUUAUUAUACUCUCUUCCCAUUUCUAUUGCUUUUCCCUUUUAUCACACUCACCUCAAGCUUUGUACAUGUGUAAAUGCAGUACAAUAGAAAUGAAUCACACUGAUUAUAGUACAAGGGUAUAUAAAUAACACCAGACACAAUUUAGUUCCUAA